UUUUUUAGUUUUCUUUAGUUUUAUUCUGCCUGUUUUUAAGGUUUUUUUUAGUUUUUUUUUCUUUUUUUAUUAUUUAUAUAUAUAUAGGUUGUUCUUUUCUGAAAUACUUUUCCUUCUGUUUUUUUAUUUUGUUUAUACUAUCCUUUCUCUUUUUUUAGUUUUCUUUAGUUUUUUUCUCCCUGUUUUAAUUUUUUAUUAGAAAAACUAUUCUUUUUCUUAUCUUGAAGACUUAAAAACAGGCAACUGGACUGUGUAGAGUUGAGAGUUGUUAUUUAUAAAUAUUAAGGGUUUUCCUUUCUGAAAUACUUUUCCUUCUGUUUUUUUAUUUUGUUUACACUAUCCUUUCUCUUUUUUAGUUUUCUUCAGUUUUUUCUGCCUGUUUUAAUUUUUUUUGUUUUUUCUAUAUAUUUAGGGUGUUUUUUCUGAUAUACUUUUCUUUCUGUUUUUUUAAUUUUGUUUAUACUAUCCUUUCUCUUUUUUUAGUUUUCUUUAGUUUUUUGUCUGCCUGUUUUAAGUUUUUUUUAUUAGUUUUUUUAGUUCUUUUUGUUAUAUAUAUUUAGGGUGUUUUUUUUCAGAAAUACUUUUCCUUCUGUUUUUUUAUUUUGUUUACACUAUCCUUUCUCCUUUUUUAGUUUUCUUUAGUUUUUUUCUGCCUGUUUUAAGUUUUUUUUUUAGUUUUUUAAAGUUUUUUUUAGAAAUACUAUUCUUUUUUUCUUUUUUUAGUUUUCUUUAGUUUUAUUCUGCCUGUUUUUAAGGGUUUUUUUCAGGUUUUUUUCAGUUUUUUUGUUAUUUAUAUAUAUAUAUAGGUUGUUCUUUUCUGAAAUACUUUUCCUUCUGUUUUUUUUAUUUUGUUUAUACUAUCCUUUCUAUCCUUCUAUCCUUUUUCCUAUCCUUUCUUUUGUUUUUUUUAGUUCUUUUUGUUAUAUAUAUUUAGGGUGUUUUUUUUCAGAAAUACUUUUCCUUCUGUUUUUUAAAUUUUGUAUACACUAUCCUUUCUCCUUUUUUUAGUUUACUUUAGUUUUUUUCUGCCUGUUUAAAUUUUUUUUUUUAGUUUUUUUAGUUUUUUAAAGUUUUUUUUAGAAAAUACUAUUCUUUUUCUUCUUUUUUAGUUUUCUUUAGUUUUAUUCUGCCUGUUUUUAAGGUUUUUUUUAGUUUUUUUUUCUUUUUUUAUUAUUUAUAUAUAUAUAGGUUGUUCUUUUCUGAAAUACUUUUCCUUCUUUUUUUUUAUUUUGUUUAUAAUAUCCUUUCUCUUUUUUUAGUUUUCUUUAGUUUUUUUCUCCCUGUUUUAAUUUUUUAUUAGAAAAACUAUUCUUUUUCUUAUCUUGAAGACUUAAAAACAGGCAACUGGACUGUGUAGAGUUGAGAGUUGUUAUUUAUAAAUAUUAAGGGUUUUCCUUUCUGAAAUACUUUUCCUUCUGUUUUUUUAUUUUGUUUAUACUAUCCUUUCUCUUUUUUAGUUUUCUUCAGUUUUUUUCUGCCUGUUUUAAUUUUUUUUGUUUUUUCUAUAUAUUUAGGGUGUUUUUUCUGAUAUACUUUUCUUUCUGUUUUUUUAAUUUUGUUUAUACUAUCCUUUCUCUUUUUUUAGUUUUCUUUAGUUUUUUGUCUGCCUGUUUUAAGUUUUUUUUAUUAGUUUUUUUAGUUCUUUUUGUUAUAUAUAUUUAGGGUGUUUUUUUUCAGAAAUAGUUUUCCUUCUGUUUUUUUAUUUUGUUUACACUAUCCUUUCUCCUCUUUUUAGUUCACUUUAGUUUUUUUCUGCCUGUUUUAAGUUUUUUUUUUAGUUUUUUAAAGUUUUUUUUAGAAAUACUAUUCUUUUUCUUUUUUUUUUAGUUUUCUUUAGUUUUAUUCUGCCUGUUUUUAAGGGGUUUUUUCAGGUUUUUUUCAGUUUUUUUGAAGUUUUUUUGAAGUUUUUUUAGAAAUACUAAUCUUCUUCUUGUUUUUAUUAGUUUUCUUUAGUUUUAUUCUGCCUGUUUUAAGUUUUUUUUUUUUCUAUAUAUUUGGGGUGUUUUUUCUGAUAUACUUUUCUUUCUGUUUUUUUAAUUUUGUUUAUACUAUCCUUUCUCUUUUUUUAGUUUUCUUUAGUUUUUUGUCUGCCUGUUUUAAGUUUUUUGUAUUAGUUUUUUGAGUUCUUUUUGUUUUUUAUAAUUAGGGUGUUUUUUUCAGAAAUACUUUUCCUUCUGUUUUUUUUAUUUUGUUUACACUAUCCUUUCUCCUCUUUUUAGUUUACUUUAGUUUUUUUCUGCCUGUUUUAAGUUUUUUUUUUAGUUUUUUAAAGUUUUUUAGAAAUACUAUUCUUUUUCUUCUUUUUUUAGUUUUCUUUAGUUUUAUUCUGCCUGUUUUUAAGGGGUUUUUUCAGGUUUUUUUCAGUUUUUUUGUUAUUUAUAUAUAUAUAGGUUGUUCUUUUCUGAAAUACUUUUCCUUCUGUUUUUUUAUUUUGUUUAUACUAUCCUUUCUAUCCUUCUAUCCUUUAUCCUAUCCUUUCUUUUGUUUUUUUUAAUUCUAUUUGUUAUAUAUAUUUAGGGUGUUUUUUUUCAGAAAUACUUUUCCUUCUGUUUUUUAAAUUUUGUAUACACUAUCCUUUCUCCUUUUUUUAGUUUACUUUAGUUUUUUUCUGCCUGUUUUAAGUCUUUUUUUAGUUUUUUUAGUUUUUUAAAGUUUUUUUAGAAAAUACUAUUCUUUUCUUCUUUUUUAGUUUUCUUUAGUUUUAUCCUGCCUGUUUUUAAGUUUUUUUUUAGUUUUUUUUUUCUUUUUUUAUUAUUUAUAUAUAUAUAGGUUGUUCUUUUCUGAAAUACUUUUCCUUCUGUUUUUUUAUUUUGUUUAUACUAUCCUUUCUCUUUUUUAGUUUUCUUCAGUUUUUUUCUGCCUGUUUUAAUUUUUUUUGUUUUUUCUAUAUAUUUAGGGUGUUUUUUCUGAUAUACUUUUCUUUCUGUUUUUUUAAUUUUGUUUAUACUAUCCUUUCUCUUUUUUUAGUUUUCUUUAGUUUUUUGUCUGCCUGUUUUAAGUUUUUUUUAAGGUUUUUUUCAGUUUUUUGUUAUUUAUAUAUAUAUAUAGGUUGUUCUUUUCUGAAAUACUUUUCCUUCUUUUUUUUAUUUUGUUUAUACUAUCCUUUCUCCUUUUUAGUUUUCUUUAGUUUUUGUCUGCCUGUUUUAAGUUUUUUUUUUAGUUUUUUGAAGUUUUUUUUAGAAAUACUAAUCUUUUUAUUAGUUUUCUUUAGUUUUUUUCUGCCUGUUUUAAUUGUUUUGUUUUUUGUUUCCUUUAGUUUUUUUUUCUUCAGUUUUUUUUACCUAUUUUUUUGCCUGGCACCUCUUUCUUGAUGAGCUACUCUUAGUCUGGUCCCUCCCCCAGGACCUGCUGCCUUGGGUAACCUUUCAGAGGCAUAAAGCCCUGACAACAUAGCUCCUGGGAUCAUUGGGACACACAAACCCCUCCACCACGGUAAGGUGGUAGCUCAAGGAGGGGAAAAAACCCUCACAUGGGAGGGAAAAACCGCAAGGGUUUUUUUUUCUGUGCAAAACACCCGGUUUAGGGUGGGUUUUUGUUCUUUUUUUUCAGAAAUACUUUUCAUUUCUUUAGUUUCCUAUAGUUCUUUUUUAUUUUUCUGCCUGUUUUAAGUUUUUUUUUCAGAAAUACUGUGAUGUUUCUUUUUUUUUUAGUUUUUUUUUAUGAAUACUAUUCUUUUUCUCAGUUUUCUUUAGUUUUUUUUGUCAUUUAUAAAUAUUAAGGGUUUUCCUUUCUGAAAUACUUUUCCUUCUGUUUUUUUAUUUUGUUUAUACUAUCCUUUCUCUUUUUUAGUUUUCUUUAGUAUUUUCUACCUGUUUUAAGUUUUUUUUUUGUUUUUUUUGUUUUUUCUAUAUAUUUAGGGUGUUUUUUUCUGAAAUACUUUUCCUUCUGUUUUUUUUAUUUUGUUUAUACUAUCCUUUCUCUUUUUUAGUUUUCUUUAGUUUUUUUCUGCCUGUUUUAAGUUUUUUUUGUUUUUUCUAUAUAUUUAGGGUGUUUUAUCAGAAAUACUUUUCCUUCUGUUUUUUUUAUUUUGUUUAUACUAUCCUUUCUCUUUUUUAGUUUUCUUUAGUUUUUUUCUGCCUGUUUUAAGUUUUUUUUAGUUUUUUUAGUUUUUUAGUUUUUUCUAUAUAUUUAGGGUGUUUUUUCUGAAAUACUUUUCCUUCUGUUUUUUUUAUUUUUUUUAUACUAUCCUUUCUCUUUCUUUAAUUUUCUUUAGUUUUUUGUCUGCCUGUUUUAAGUGUUUUUUUUUAUUUUUUAAAGUUUUUUUUUAGAAAUACUAUUCUUUUUCUUCUUUUUUUAGUUUUCUUUAGUUUUAUUCUGCCUGUUUUUAAGGGUUUUUUUAGGUUUUUUUCAGUUUUUUGUUAUUUAUAUAUAUAAACAACCUGUUUUAAGGUUGUUUUUUAGUUUUUUUCUUGUUGUUAUUUAUAUAUAUUAAGGGUGUUCUUUUCUGAAAUACUUUUCCUUCUUUUUUUUCAUUUUGUUUAUAAUAUCCUUUCUCUUUUUUAGUUUUCUUUAGUUUUUUUCUGCCUGUUUUAAGUUUUUUUUUUUUUUUUUUUUCUAUAUAUUUAGGGUGUUUUUUUUCUCAAAUACUAUUCUUUUUCUCCUUUUUUUAGUUUUCUUUAGUUUUAUUCUGCCUGUUUUUAAGGUUUUUUUUUAGUUUUUUUUCAGUUUUUUGUUAUUUAUAUACACUCACUGGCCACUUUAUUAGGUACACCUGUCCAACUGCUCGUUAACACUUAAUUUCUAAUCAGCCAAUCACAUGGCGGCAACUUAGUGCAUUUAGGCAUGUAGACAUGGUCAAGACAAUCUCCUGCAGUUCAAACCGAGCAUCAGUAUGGGGAAGAAAGGUGAUUUGAGUGACUUUGAACGUGGCAUGGUUGUUAGUGCCAGAAGGGCUGGUCUGAGUAUUUCAGAAACUGCUGAUCUACUGGGAUUUUCACGCACAACCAUCUCUAGGGUUUACAGAGAAUGGUCCGAAAAAGAAAAAAUAUCCAGUGAGCGGCAGUUCUGUGGGCGGAAAUGCCUUGUUGAUGCCAGAGGUCAGAGGAGAAUGGCCAGACUGGUUUGAGCUGAUAGAAAGGCAACAGUGACUCAAAUAACCACCCGUUACAACCAAGGUAGGCAGAAGAGCAUCUCUGAACGCACAGUACAUCGAACUUUGAGGCAGAUGGGCUACAGCAGCAGAAGACCACGCCAGGUGCCACUCCUUUCAGCUAAGAACAGGAAACUGAGGCUACAAUUUGCACAAGCUCAUCGAAAUUGGACAAUGAAGAUUGGAAAAACGUUGCCUGGUCUGAUGAGUCUCGAUUUCUGCUGCGACAUUCGGAUGGUAGGGUCAGAAUUUGGCGUCAACAACAUGAAAGCAUGGAUCCAUCCUGCCUUGUAUCAACAGUUCUGGCUGGUGGUGGUGGUGUCAUGGUGUGGGGAAUAUUUUCUUGGCACUCUUUGGGCCCCUUGGUACCAAUUGAGCAUCGUUGCAACGCCACAGCCUACCUGAGUAUUGUUGCUGACCAUGUCCAUCCCUUUAUGACCACAAUGUACCCAACUUCUGAUGGCUACUUUCAGCAGGAUAAUGCGCCAUGUCAUAAAGCUGGAAUCAUCUCAGACUGGUUUCUUGAACAUGACAAUGAGUUCACUGUACUCAAAUGGCCUCCACAGUCACCAGAUCUCAAUCCAAUAGAGCAUCUUUGGGAUGUGGUGGAGCGGGAGAUUCGCAUCAUGGAUGUGCAGCCGACAAAUCUGCGGCAACUGUGUGAUGCCAUCAUGUCAAUAUGGACCAAGCUCUCUGAGGAAUGCUUCCAGCACCUUGUUGAAUCUAUGCCACGAAGAAUUGAGGCAGUUCUGAAGGCAAAAGGGGGUCCAACCCGUUACUAGCAUGGUGUACCUAAUAAAGUGGCCGGUGAGUGUAUAUAUAUAGGUUGUUCUUUUCUGAAAUACUUUUCCUUGUGUUUUUUUAUUUUGUUUAUACUAUCCUUUCUAUCCUUCUAUCCUUUAUCCUAUCCUUUCUUAUAGUUUUUUUAGUUCUUUUUGUUAUAUAUAUUUAGGGUGUUUUUUUUCAGAAAUACUUUUCCUUCUGUUUUUUUAUUUUGUUUACACUAUCCUUUCUCUUCUUUUUAGUUUACUUUAGUUUUUUUCUGCCUGUUUUAAGUUUUUUUUUUAGUUUUUUAAAGUUUUUUUUAGAAAUACUAUUCUUUUUCUUCUUUUUUUAGUUUUCUUUAGUUUUAUUCUGCCUGUUUUUAAGGGGUUUUUUCAGGUUUUUUUCAGUUUUUUUGAAGUUUUUUUAGAAAUACUAAUCUUCUUGUUUUUAUUAGUUUUCUUUAGUUUUAUUCUGCCUGUUUUAAGUUUUUUUUUUUUUCUAUAUAUUUGGGGUGUUUUUUCUGAUAUACCUUUCUUUCUGUUUUUUUAAUUUUGUUUAUACUAUCCUUUCUCUUUUUUUAAUUUUCUUUAGUUUUUUGUCUGCCUGUUUUAAGUUUUUUGUAUUAGUUUUUUGAGUUCUUUUUGUUUUUUAUAAUUAGGGUGUUUUUUUCAGAAAUACUUUUCCUUCUGUUUUUUUUUAUUUUGUUUACACUAUCCUUUCUCCUCUUUUUAGUUUACUUUAGUUUUUUUCUGCCUGUUUUAAGUUUUUUUUUUAGUUUUUUAAAGUUUUUUUAGAAAUACUAUUCUUUUUCUUCUUUUUUUAGUUUUCUUUAGUUUUAUUCUGCCUGUUUUUAAGGGUUUUUUUCAGGUUUUUUUCAGUUUUUUUGUUAUUUAUAUAUAUAUAGGUUGUUCUUUUCUGAAAUACUUUUCCUUCUGUUUUUUUAUUUUGUUUAUACUAUCCUUUCUAUCCUUCUAUCCUUUAUCCUAUCCUUUCUUUUGUUUUUUUUAAUUCUAUUUGUUAUAUAUAUUUAGGGUGUUUUUUUUCAGAAAUACUUUUCCUUCUGUUUUUUAAAUUUUGUAUACACUAUCCUUUCUCCUUUUUUUAGUUUACUUUAGUUUUUUUCUGCCUGUUUUAAGUUUUUUUUAGUUUUUUUAGUUUUUUAAAGUUUUUUUAGAAAAUACUAUUCUUUUUCUUCUUUUUUAGUUUUCUUUAGUUUUAUCCUGCCUGUUUUUAAGUUUUUUUUUUAGUUUUUUUUUUCUUUUUUUAUUAUUUAUAUAUAUAUAGGUUGUUCUUUUCUGAAAUACUUUUCCUUCUGUUUUUUUAUUUUGUUUAUACUAUCCUUUCUCUUUUUUAGUUUUCUUCAGUUUUUUUCUGCCUGUUUUAAUUUUUUUUUGUUUUUUCUAUAUAUUUAGGGUGUUUUUUCUGAUAUACUUUUCUUUCUGUUUUUUUAAUUUUGUUUAUACUAUCCUUUCUCUUUUUUUAGUUUUCUUUAGUUUUUUGUCUGCCUGUUUUAAGUUUUUUUUAUUAGUUUUUUUAGUUCUUUUUGUUAUAUAUAUUUAGGGUGUUUUUUUUUCGGAAAUAGUUUUCCUUCUGUUUUUUUAUUUUGUUUACACUAUCCUUUCUCCUCUUUUUAGUUCACUUUAGUUUUUUUCUGCCUGUUUUAAGUUUUUUUUUUAGUUUUUUUUAGUUUUUUAAAGUUUUUUUUAGAAAUACUAUUCUUUUUUUUCUUUUUUUAGUUUUCUUUAGUUUUAUUCUGCCUGUUUUUAAGGUUUUUUUUAAGGUUUUUUUCAGUUUUUUGUUAUUUAUAUAUAUAUAUAGGUUGUUUUUUUCUGAAAUACUUUUCCUUCUUUUUUUUAUUUUGUUUAUACUAUCCUUUCUCCUUUUUAGUUUUCUUUAGUUUUUGUCUGCCUGUUAUAAGUUUUUUUUUAGUUUUUUGAAGUUUUUUUUAGAAAUACUAAUCUUCUUUUUAUUAGUUUUCUUUAGUUUUUUUCUGCCUGUUUUAAUUGUUUUGUUUUUUGUUUCCUUUAGUUUUUUUUUCUUCAGUUUUUUUUCCUAUUUUUUUGCCUGGCACCUCUUUCUUGAUGAGCUACUCUUAGUCUGGUCCCUCCCCCAGGACCUGCUGCCUUGGGUAACCUUUCAGAGGCAUAAAGCCCUGACAACAUAGCUCCUGGGAUCAUUGGGACACACAAACCCCUCCACCACGGUAAGGUGGUAGCUCAAGGAGGGGAAAAAACCCUCACAUGGGAGGGAAAAACCGCAAGGGUUUUUUUUUCUGUGCAAAACACCCGGUUUAGGGUGGGUUUUUGUUCUUUUUUUUCGGAAAUACUUUUCAUUUCUUUAGUUUCCUAUAGUUCUUUUUUAUUUUUCUGCCUGUUUUAAGUUUUUUUUCAGAAAUACUGUGAUGUUUCUUUUUUUUUUUUAGUUUUUUUUUUUACGAAUACUAUUCUUUUUCUCAGUUUUCUUUAGUUUUUUUUGUCAUUUAUAAAUAUUAAGGGUUUUCCUUUCUGAAAUACUUUUCCUUCUGUUUUUUUAUUUUGUUUAUACUAUCCUUUCUCUUUUUUAGUUUUCUUUAGUAUUUUCUACCUGUUUUAAGUUUUUUUUUUUUUUUUUUUUUUUUCUAUAUAUUUAGGGUGUUUUUUUCUGAAAUACUUUUCCUUCUGUUUUGUUUUAUUUUGUUUAUACAAUCCUUUCUCUUUUUUAGUUUUCUUUAGUUUUUUUCUGCCUGUUUUAAGUUUUUUUUUUAGUUUUUUUUUGUUUUUUUUCUAUAUAUUUAGGGUGUUUUUUCUGAUAUACUUUUCUUUCUGUUUUUUUUAAUAUUGUUUAUACUAUCAUUUCUCUUUAUUUAGUUUUCUUUAGUUUUUUGUCUGCCUGUUUUAAGAUGUUUUUAUUAGUUUUUUUAGUUCUUUUUGUUAUAUAUAUUUAGGGUGUUUUUUUUCAGAAAUAGUUUUCCUUCUGUUUUUUUUUAUUUUGUUUACACUGUCCUUUCUCUUUUUUUUUAAUUUUCUUUAGUUUUUUGUCUGCCUGUUUUUAGUUUUUUUUUUUAGUUUUUUUUUUAGUUCUUUUUGUAAUAUAUUUAGGGUGUUUUAUCAGAAAUACUUUUCCUUCUGUUUUUUUAUUUUGUUUAUAAUAUCCUUUCUCCUUUUUUAGUUUACUUUAGUUUUUUCUGCCUGUUUUAAGUUUUUUUUUUAGAUUUUUUUUAGUUUUUUAAAGUUUGUUUUAGAAAUACUAUUCUUUUUCUUCUUUUUUUAGGUUUCUUUAGUUUUUUUCUGCCUGUUUUAAGGUUGUUUUUUAGUUUUUUUUUCUUGUUGUUAUUUAUAUAUAUAUAGGUUGUUCUUUUCUGAAAUACUUUUCCUUCUGUUUUUUUUAUUUUGUUUAUACUAUCCUUUCUCUUUUUUAGUUUUCUUUAGUUUUUUUCUGCCUGUUUUAAGUUUUUUUUGUUUUUUCUAUAUAUUUAGGGUGUUUUUUUUCUCAAAUACUUUUCCUUCUGUUUUUUUUAUUUUGUUUACACUAUCCUUUCUCUUUUUUUAAUUUUCUUUAGUUUUUUGUCUGCCUGUUUUUAGUUUUUUUUUUUUUAGUUUUUUUUAGUUCUUUUUGUAAUAUAUUUAGGGUGUUUUAUCAGAAAUACUUUUCCUUCUGUUUUUUUUAUUUUGUUUAUACUAUCCUUUCUCUUUUUUAGUUUUCUUUAGUUUUUUUCUGCCUGUUUUAAGUUUUUUUUAGUUUUUUUAGUUUUUUAGUUUUUUCUAUAUAUUUAGGGUGUUUUUUUCUGAAAUACUUUUCCUUCUGUUUUUUUUAUUUUGUUUAUACUAUCCUUUCUCUUUCUUUAAUUUUCUUUAGUUUUUUGUCUGCCUGUUUUAAGUGUUUUUUUUUAGUUUUUUAAAGUUUUUUUUUAGAAAUACUAUUCUUUUUCUUCUUUUUUUAGUUUUCUUUAGUUUUAUUCUGCCUGUUUUUAAGGGUUUUUUUAGGUUUUUUUCAGUUUUUUGUUAUUUAUAUAUAUAAACAACCUGUUUUAAGGUUGUUUUUUAGUUUUUUUCUUGUUGUUAUUUAUAUAUAUUAAGGGUGUUCUUUUCUGAAAUACUUUUCCUUCUUUUUUUUCAUUUUGUUUAUAAUAUCCUUUCUCUUUUUUAGUUUUCUUUAGUUUUUUUCUCCCUGUUUUAAGUUUUUUUUUUUUUUUUUUUUUUUCUAUAUAUUUAGGGUGUUUUUUUUCUCAAAUACUAUUCUUUUUCUCCUUUUUUUUAGUUUUCUUUAGUUUUAUUCUGCCUGUUUUUAAGGUUUUUUUUUAGUUUUUUUUCAGUUUUUUGUUAUUUAUAUACACUCACUGGCCACUUUAUUAGGUACACCUGUCCAACUGCUCGUUAACACUUAAUUUCUAAUCAGCCAAUCACAUGGCGGCAACUUAGUGCAUUUAGGCAUGUAGACAUGGUCAAGACAAUCUCCUGCAGUUCAAACCGAGCAUCAGUAUGGGGAAGAAAGGUGAUUUGAGUGACUUUGAACGUGGCAUGGUUGUUAGUGCCAGAAGGGCUGGUCUGAGUAUUUCAGAAACUGCUGAUCUACUGGGAUUUUCACGCACAACCAUCUCUAGGGUUUACAGAGAAUGGUCCGAAAAAGAAAAAAUAUCCAGUGAGCGGCAGUUCUGUGGGCGGAAAUGCCUUGUUGAUGCCAGAGGUCAGAGGAGAAUGGCCAGACUGGUUUGAGCUGAUAGAAAGGCAACAGUGACUCAAAUAACCACCCGUUACAACCAAGGUAGGCAGAAGAGCAUCUCUGAACGCACAGUACAUCGAACUUUGAGGCAGAUGGGCUACAGCAGCAGAAGACCACGCCAGGUGCCACUCCUUUCAGCUAAGAACAGGAAACUGAGGCUACAAUUUGCACAAGCUCAUCGAAAUUGGACAAUGAAGAUUGGAAAAACGUUGCCUGGUCUGAUGAGUCUCGAUUUCUGCUACGACAUUCGGAUGGUAGGGUCAGAAUUUGGCGUCAACAACAUGAAAGCAUGGAUCCAUCCUGCCUUGUAUCAACAGUUCUGGCUGGUGGUGGUGGUGUCAUGGUGUGGGGAAUAUUUUCUUGGCACUCUUUGGGCCCCUUGGUACCAAUUGAGCAUCGUUGCAACGCCACAGCCUACCUGAGUAUUGUUGCUGACCAUGUCCAUCCCUUUAUGACCACAAUGUACCCAACUUCUGAUGGCUACUUUCAGCAGGAUAAUGCGCCAUGUCAUAAAGCUGGAAUCAUCUCAGACUGGUUUCUUGAACAUGACAAUGAGUUCACUGUACUCAAAUGGCCUCCACAGUCACCAGAUCUCAAUCCAAUAGAGCAUCUUUGGGAUGUGGUGGAGCGGGAGAUUCGCAUCAUGGAUGUGCAGCCGACAAAUCUGCGGCAACUGUGUGAUGCCAUCAUGUCAAUAUGGACCAAGCUCUCUGAGGAAUGCUUCCAGCACCUUGUUGAAUCUAUGCCACGAAGAAUUGAGGCAGUUCUGAAGGCAAAAGGGGGUCCAACCCGUUACUAGCAUGGUGUACCUAAUAAAGUGGCCGGUGAGUGUAUAUAUAUAGGUUGUUCUUUUCUGAAAUACUUUUCCUUGUGUUUUUUUAUUUUGUUUAUACUAUCCUUUCUAUCCUUCUAUCCUUUAUCCUAUCCUUUCUUUUAGUUUUUUUAGUUCUUUUUGUUAUAUAUAUUUAGGGUGUUUUUUUUCAGAAAUACUUUUCCUUCUGUUUUUUUAAUUUUGUUUACACUAUCCUUUCUCCUUUUUUUGGUUAACUUUAGUUUUUUUCUGCCUGUUUUAAGGUUGUUUUUUAGUUUUUUUUAGUUUUUUAAAGUUUUUUUUUUAGAAAUACUAUCCUUUUCUUCUUUUUUAAUUUUCUUUAGUUUUAUUCUUCCUGUUUUUAAGUUUUUUUUAGUUUUUUUUUAGUUUUUUGUUAUUUAUAUAUAUAGGUUGUUCUUUUCUGAAAUACUUUUCCUUCUGUUUUUUUUAUUUUGUUUAUACUAUCCUUUCUCUUUUUUUUAGUUUUCUUUAGUUUUUUUUCUGCCUGUUUUAAUUUUUUAUUAGAAAAACUAUUCUUUUUCUUCUUUUUUAGUUUUCUUUAGUUUUUUUCUGCAUGUUUAAAGUUGUUUUUUAGUUUUUUUUUGUUAUUUAUAAAUAUUAAGGGUUUUCCUUUCUAAAAUACUUUUCCUUCUGUUUUUUUAUUUUGUUUAUACCAUCCUUUCUCUUUUUUAGUUUUCUUUAGUUUUUUUCUGCCUGUUUUAAGUUUUUUUUUAGUUUUUUUAGUUUUUUAGUUUUUUCUAUAUAUUUAGGGUGUUUUUUCUGAAAUACUUUUCCUUCUGUUUUUUUUAUUUUGUUUAUACUAUCCUUUCUCUUUCUUUAAUUUUCUUUAGUUUUUUGUCUGCCUGUUUUAAGUGGUUUUUUUUAGGUUUUUUUAGUUACUUUUGUAAUAUAUUUAGGGUGUUUUAUCAGAAAUACUUCUGUUUUUUUUAUUUUGUUUAUAAUAUCCUUUCUCCUUUUUUAGUUUACUUUAGUUUUUUCUGCCUGUUUUAAUUUUAUUUUUUAGUUUUUUUUUGUUCUUUUUGUAAUAUAUUUAGGGUGUUUUUUCAGAAAUACUGUUCCUUCUGUUUUUUUUAGUUUUUGUCUGCCUGUUCUAAGUUUUUUUUUAGUUUUUUUUAGUUUUUUUUAGAAAUAAUAAUCUUCUUUUUAUUAGUUUUCUUUAGUUUUUUUCUGCCUGUUUUAAUUUUUCUGUUUUUUGUUUUCUUUAGUUUUUUUUCUUCAGUUUUUUUUUCCUAUUUUUUUGCCUGGCACCUCUGUCUGGAUGAGCUACUCUUAGUCUGGUCCCUCCCCCAGGACCUGUUUGCCUUGGGUAACCUUUCAGAGGCAUAAAGCCCUGACAACAUAGCUCCUGGGAUCAUUGGGACACACAAACCCCUCCACCACGGUAAGGUGG
rnacentral:lncRNA from 1 species